GAGAAGAAAGAAGCGGCUGCAGUAGGUUAAGACUUAAGGCAUUAGGGUUUUUUUUUUUCUUUUAUAGUUAAAUUAUUCGGGUCCGGGUUUCGGACAUCCGGGUUAAGAUAAACCGGAUCCGGACCGGAAUAUAUCCGGGUUCAAAAUAUCCUUUUCGGAUCCGCAUUGUAUUAUCUUCCGGUGCGGAUUAAACCCGGACCGGAUUAUCCGGGUCCAAUCCUGGUCCGGAUUAAUUUACCAUCCCUACUCAUUAGUCACUCUUUUUCUACACACAACACAUAUGGAAUGACCUUUUAAGUCUCCUUGAAUAAUAUACACACACAUUAUGGGAGUCAAUUUGAGAUGUUAGAAGUUGUCUACACAUUUGACAUUGAAUAUCAGUAUUAUGAAUAUCAUUAGACUUUAAUAUUAGAUUUAAAAUUAAAAAAAAAAUUCAACAAAUUUUAUUUGGGCCUCAACCAAACGCUAAAACAAAUUAACGAAUCAAUCUUGCAUUAUCUCAUUAUCUCUCUUUUGCAUUAUGUUUGUGUCUACCUCACAGCAUAAUGCAUAAUAAUAGCCCCACCACCAUAUUAUAAAAUAAAAAUUUUAUCACAAAAAACCGCAGAGAAUCACGGGUUAAAACCCCUAUAAAUUCCCCCAAUCGGAGAUCGUUUUCACCACCUCUCUCUCACUCUCUCACUCUCUCCCUAGUUGGCUGGCCAUCUUCUUUACUAGAGAUAAAAGAAGACUGAAAAAAAAAAAAACAAAACAAAAUGGGUAAAGCUUUACUGAUUGUUGUUCAUGUUUGUUUGGUCUUAGCCGGCUGCAGCUUCACUGUGUAUGGUGAACAGGUUUACACUGAGAGUUCCAUGGCUAUGCCACCAUCACACUACCACUCGGUAACCCCGGCAACGGCACCAAGCCCCCACCAUCACCACCACCACCACAGCCACCCUCCUACUGCCCCACCGGCUCACGCCCCAAGCCACCACCAUCAUCACCACCACCCCCACCCGCCGGCUCAUGCACCGGCUCACACUCCCGCUCAUGCACCUGCUCACCCACCUUCACACGUUGCUCCUGCCCACCCACCUCCACCACACGUUGCUCCUGCUCACCCACCUCCACCACACGUUGCUCCUGCUCACCCACCUCCACCGCACGUUGCUCCUGCUCACCCACCCACACCCACCCAUCGUUUCCCUAGGAGCCUUGUUGAAGUUCAAGGCGUCGUUUAUUGCAAGUCUUGCAAGUACGCCGGAGCUGAUACCCUCCUAGGAGCUACCGCUGUUCUCGGUCAGUUUCGAACUCUUUCAAUUUAACUUUCCCUGCUUCUAACUUUUACAUACUUGAUUUUUUCUAUCAUUAUUACUUCAAUUAAUUUCACAUAUAUGUUAGUUAUACAUCAUGCAUACAUAACAUACGUAUGGAUGCGAAUGUGCAUUUGUUUUCAUGGAUGCAGUAUGUAUACAUUCCCAGAUUUUGAAUGGAGAGAGAGAGAGAGAGAAAGAGAGAGAGGUGCUCUUGAUCUCUUUCUUUCUCUUUGUUCUAGGUUUAUGUCACAUUCAGUAGGAGGCAUGGUUAUGGCAGCAUAGCUAGCUACUUUUUCCUUUUUCAAGCUCUCUCUUUGAAGUCCCUAGUAUUUAAAUAUUUUUUUUUAUUCUUUUAAUAUUGUCCAUGGGUUUAAUCAAUCUCAAAAACAAAUCUUGCUUUACUCAUUCUCAAACCACAAGAGUAUUUUGAGUAAAAAAAGAAAAAGAAAAAAUGACCACCAAAUGAAUACUGACAAAGACAUUGUUUUGAUAUGUUUUUGGGGGGAGGGGGCAGG
rnacentral:lncRNA from 1 species